GAUGAACGCUAGCGACAGGCUUAACACAUGCAAGUCGAGGGGCAGCACAAGGAGUAAUCUGAGGUGGCGACCGGCGCACGGGUGAGUAACACGUAUGCAACCUGCCUACAACAGGGGGAUAGGCUCUCGAAAGAGAGAUUAAUACCGCAUAAUACAGGGAUACCGCAUGGUAAUAUUUGUUAAAGAUUAAUUGGUUGUAGAUGGGCAUGCGCAACAUUAGGUAGUUGGAGAGGUAAUGGCUCCCCAAGCCAUCGAUGUUUAGGGGUUCUGAGAGGAAGGUCCCCCACACUGGUACUGAGACACGGACCAGACUCCUACGGGAGGCAGCAGUGAGGAAUAUUGGUCAAUGGACGAGAGUCUGAACCAGCCAAGUCGCGUGCAGGAAGACGGCGCUAUGCGUUGUAAACUGCUUUUGUAAAGGAAUAAAGUUCGUCACGUGUGAUGAUUUGUAUGUACUUUACGAAUAAGGAUCGGCUAACUCCGUGCCAGCAGCCGCGGUAAUACGGAGGAUUCGAGCGUUAUCCGGAUUUAUUGGGUUUAAAGGGUGCGUAGGCGGAUUAAUAAGUCAGUGGUGAAAGUUUGUGGCUCAACCAUAAAAUUGCCAUUGAAACUGUUAGUCUUGAGUGAACUAGAAGUGUGCGGAAUGUGUAAUGUAGCGGUGAAAUGCUUAGAUAUUACCCAGAACCCCGAUUGCGAAGGCAGCACACUGGGGGUUUUACUGACGCUGAUGCACGANAGCGUGGGGAUCGAACAGGAUUAGAUACCCUGGUAGUCCACGCCGUAAACGAUGAUAACUAACUGUUUGCGAUAUAUAGUAAGUGGUACAGAGAAAUCGUUAAGUUAUCCACCUGGGGAGUACGCCGGCAACGGUGAAACUCAAAGGAAUUGACGGGGGCCCGCACAAGCGGAGGAACAUGUGGUUUAAUUCGAUGAUACGCGAGGAACCUUACCCGGGCUUGAAAUGUACAUGAAUUACUUGGAAACAGGUAAGCCAGCAAUGGCAUGUAUGUAGGUGCUGCAUGGUUGUCGUCAGCUCGUGCCGUGAGGUGUCGGCUUAAGUGCCAUAACGAGCGCAACCCUUGUCGUUAGUUACUAACAGGUUAAGCUGAGGACUCUAGCGAGACUGCCACCGUAAGGUGCGAGGAAGGUGGGGAUGACGUCAAAUCAGCACGGCCCUUACGUCCGGGGCGACACACGUGUUACAAUGGAUGGUACAGAGGGUUGCUACCUGGUGACAGGAUGCUAAUCUCUUAAAGCCAUUCUCAGUUCGGAUCGGAGUCUGCAACUCGACUCCGUGAAGCUGGAUUCGCUAGUAAUCGCGCAUCAGCCAUGGCGCGGUGAAUACGUUCCCGGGCCUUGUACACACCGCCCGUCAAGCCAUGGAAGCCGAGGGGACCUGAAGUACGUAACCGCAAGGAGCGUCCUAGGGUAAAAUUGGUAACUGGGGCU
rnacentral:rRNA from 1 species